rnacentral:rRNA from 1 species
CAGUCGCCACGGGAAUACGGAGGGUGCAAGCGUUAAUCGGAAUUACUGGGCGUAAAGCGCACGCAGGCGGUCUGUCAAGUCAGAUGUGAAAUCCCCGGGCUUAACCUGGGAACUGCAUUUGAAACUGGCAGGCUAGAGUCUUGUAGAGGGGGGUAGAAUUCCAGGUGUAGCGGUGAAAUGCGUAGAGAUCUGGAGGAAUACCGGUGGCGAAGGCGGCCCCCUGGACAAAGACUGACGCUCAGGUGCGAAAGCGUGGGGAGCAAACAGGAUUAGAUACCCCAGUAGUCCCUGUCUCUUAUAC